AUGCUGGGAGAAAGGUCAGAGAAUGAAACUGUUACUAUUUUGCCUUCCCCAUCUCUUGGCAUUUCAGAGCUCCCUUGGUUUCUGACCAUUGCUAAACCCUGUUCUCAAGCCUCAGAUCAAAUCUGUGAGAACCAUGAUGUUCUCAUAAUGCCCUCUUAUGCUCAGAGAAGCCCAAUCAGUGGCUUUCAACCAAGAAUAACGUUUUAACCAAGUAUAUUCAUUUUCAGUGGCUGCUGUAACAAAUUACUACAAAUUUGGUGGCAUAAAGAAUACUAAUUUAUUACCUUUACAGUUCUGUAGGUCAGAAGUUUGACACAGGGGUCACUAGGCUAAAAUGAAGGUGUUACUGGGUUGUGUUCCUUUCUGGAAGCUCUAGGGGUCAAUCCAUUUCUUUGCCUUUUCAGCCUUUACAGGCUGCUGGCAUUCUUUGGCUUAGAGCCUCUUUCCUCCAUUUUCAAAGCCAGCAGUAGUGGACUGAGUCUAUCUCACACUGCCAUCUCUCUGAUUCUCUCUGGUCUUAACAAAGGCUCUGGCCUUUAUAAAGGAUUUAUAGGAUUAGAUUGGAACUACCUGCAUUAUCCACCAGGCUAAUCUUCCCAUCUCAAAGUCCUUUUGCCAUUUAAAGCAAUGAAUUCAUAAGCUCCUAGAGUUAGGGCUAGGACUUCUUUGGGAGCCAGUAGUCUGCCUGCCACAUGGGGUGAUAAAGGUUUACAUCACUGUGGUGGGGUGGGUCAACAACAUACUAUCUCUUGUGUGAUGCCCUGUGAAAAACUCUGCUAGAACCUUCCUGAAGUAUUGCCGCCAAGAACGCAUGGCCUGAAUCUGGGCAGGAGGAAUCACUGGAAAGACCUAGGUUGAGGGACAUUAUACAGAAUGACUACAGAUUUAAUUACAGACACAAUUUAAAAUGGUAAGGCCACAGAAUACAGGAAAAGAGUGAGGAAAUGUUCCAGAGAGAGGAUAUUAAAGAGAUAUAACAAUUAAAUGCAACACAUAAUUCCAAAUUGGGUCUUGCAUCAGAAGAAAAAGGAGAUUUGGGGAACACUUGAGGAAAUGCAAAUGGGGUCUGCGGUGGCAUCAAUGUUAAUUUUCUAAUUAAGAAACUUAUAUGAUGGAAACAUAGGAAAGUUUCCUUCUUUGUGAGUAGAGGUGGAAAAUACACCCUGGAGAGUCUAGAAAUGAUGAAGUAUCAUGUUUGCAACUUUCCCUCAAAUGCUUCAGAAAGAGACUAAUGAUGACAGAGAUAUAUACAUAUGUGAGCGUGUGUGGUGGAUAGAGAUAGAGAGAAAUGGAGUAGUAAAAGUGGUAAAUGUUAAUACAGGGGAAUCUGGACAAAGAAAAUGGUGGUCUUUAGAGUUGAAAUUAUUAUAAUAUAUAAUUAUAAAAUUAUAAUCAUAAUUAUAAUUAUAAAAUUAUAAUCAUAAUUAUAAUUAUAAAAUUAUAAAAUAAUAAUUAUAAAAUUAUAAUCAUAAAAAAUAAA
rnacentral:lncRNA from 1 species